rnacentral:rRNA from 1 species
GGGGUAAGAUUAAUAAUGGAGGGGUUAAUAAAAAAAAUUUUAAUAUUAAAAUAAUUUAAUGGGGGUUAAAGUAUUUUAAUAGAAAAAAUUUAAAUUUUUAUAGUUAAAUAGUAUUGUGAAAGAAUUUUGAAAUAUUUUGAAAUUAAAUUUAUAAAAAAGUAAAUUUAAUUUGUUGUAUCUUGGGUAUCAGAGUUUAUUAAAAAUUUUUUAUUGAUUUUUAAAUUUCUCGAAUUUAAAAGAGAUAAUUAAUUAAAAAAGUUAUUGUUGCAUAAAUAUUUUAAAUAAUUGAUUUGAAAUGAAAUGUUAAUCGUUUUUAAAUAUAUCUAGUUUUUUUAGAAUAAAAUUUAAUUUUAAAUUUUAAUAUAAAAUUUAUUAAUUGAUUUAAUAAAUUUUUAUUAAAAUUAUAUAUUUUAAGGGAUAAGCUUUAAAUUAAAUUUUUAUAAUAAUUUAAAUUUUUAGUAUAAAAUUUUUAUAAUUUAUAUUGUUAAUAAAUUAUAUUUUUUUACAAAUAAUUUUAUAGAAAUAUUAAAAUUUAAUUUUAAAUUUAAAUUUUUAUAAAAAAAAAUUUUUUAAUAUGUAAAAUUUAGUUAUUAUGAUAAAAUUAGUAUAUAAGUAUAAAUUUAUAAAUUAAAUUAAAAUUAUUUAAUUUUAAUUAAAAUUAAUUUAAAGGAAUUCGGCAAAUUUUUAUAUUCACUUGUUUAUCAAAAACAUGUCUUUUUGUCUAUAAUUUAAAGUCUAAUCUGCCCACUGAUAUAAUUAAAGGGCUGCAGUAUUUUGACUGUACAAAGGUAGCAUAAUCAUUAGUCUCUUAAUUGGUGUCUUGUAUGAAAGAUUGGAUGAAAUAUAAACUGUCUUUAAGUUAUAUUAUUGAAUUUAAUUUUUUAAUUAAAAAGUUAAAAUAAAUUAAAAAGACGAGAAGACCCUAUAGAGUUUUAUAAUUUAUUUAAAUUAAAAUUAUUUUUAAUUUUUUAAUUAAAAUUUAUUAUAAAUUAUUUUAUUGGGGUGAUGAAAAAAUUAAAUAAACUUUUUUUAUAAGAUUUCAUUGAUAAGUGACUGAAUGAUCCAAUUUUAUUGAUUAUAAGAUUAAAUUACCUUAGGGAUAACAGCGUAAUUUUUUUUUUUAGUUCAAAUAAAAAAAAGAGUUUGCGACCUCGAUGUUGGAUUAAGAUAAAAUUUAUAUGCAAAAGUAUAAAAUUUUUGAUCUGUUCGAUCAUUAAAAUCUUACAUGAUCUGAGUUCAAACCGGUGUGAGCCAGGUUGGUUUCUAUCUUUUAAUAAGAAAAAUAUUUUAGUACGAAAGGAUCAAAUAUUUUAAUUAAAUUAUAAUUAAUUGAAUUUUAUUAAAUUUUAUAUAAAUUUUUUAUUUUCGAGAAUAAA